UGAUAUGAGGGUGAUCUGGCUGCUACAUCUGUCACCUCAUUGAUUGCCAGCGUUGAUCUUCCUGAUGUAGCUGGCAACAUGGGUAUCACCUUCCUCCUUCACUGCUCCAUGUGCAUCCCUCCCAGAAGCUGUGCACUUGGUCAAAGAGGAUGACCACCUCUGACAGACACAGUCCAUUUCCUUGGUUGAGAAUAUAUGUGUAGCUGCACUCACCUACUAGAACCUCCAAACAAGUAGAAAGAACUAUAAGGGCUGGCCAAAUAGCUCAGUGGAUUAAAGCAGGAUUGAAGCACCUGCAAGCAUGUGCGGGGACCAGGGGUUCAAUCC
rnacentral:snRNA from 1 species